rnacentral:rRNA from 1 species
GGGGGGGGCAAGCGUUGUUCGGAAUUACUGGGCGUAAAGGGCUCGUAGGCGGCCAACUAAGUCAGACGUGAAAUCCCUCGGCUUAACCGGGGAACUGCAUCUGAUACUGGAUGGCUUGAGUUUGGGAGAGGGAUGCGGAAUUCCAGGUGUAGCGGUGAAAUGCGUAGAUAUCUGGAGGAACACCGGUGGCGAAGGCGGCAUCCUGGACCAACACUGACGCUGAGGAGCGAAAGCCAGGGGAGCAAACGGGAUUAGAUACCCCGGUAGUCCUGGCCCUAAACGAUGAAUGCUUGGUGUGGCGGGUAUCGAUCCCUGCCGUGCCGAAGCUAACGCAUUAAGCAUUCCGCCUGGGGAGUACGGUCGCAAGGCUG